rnacentral:rRNA from 1 species
UUUAAUUUGAGAGUUUGAUCCUGGCUCAGGAUGAACGCUGGCGGCGUGCUUAACACAUGCAAGUCGAACGGAGUUUUUAAAUGGAAGUCCUCGGAUGGAAGUUUAGAAACUUAGUG